rnacentral:rRNA from 1 species
UACGUAGGGUGCGAGCGUUGUCCGGAAUUACUGGGCGUAAAGAGCUCGUAGGUGGUUUGUCGCGUUGUUCGUGAAAACUCACAGCUUAACUGUGGGCGUGCGGGCGAUACGGGCAGACUGGAGUACUGCAGGGGAGACUGGAAUUCCUGGUGUAGCGGUGGAAUGCGCAGAUAUCAGGAGGAACACCGGUGGCGAAGGCGGGUCUCUGGGCAUUUCCUGACGCUGAGGCGCGAAAGCGUGGGGAGCAAACGGG